rnacentral:rRNA from 1 species
CCCUUAGAUGUUCUGGGCCGCACGCGCGCUACACUGACGAAUGCAACGAGCUUAUAACCUUGGCCGAAAGGUCUGGGUAAUCUCCAAAUUUCGUCGUGAUGGGGAUAGAUUAUUGCAAUUAUUAAUCUUCAACGAGGAAUGCCUAGUAAGCGCAAGUCCUCAGCUUGCGUUGAUUACGUCCCUGCCCUUUGUACACACCGCCCGUCGCUCCUACCGAUUGAAUGGUCCGGUGAAGCGUUCGGACCGUGGCCUUUGGACGGUUCGCCGUCUGUUGGCUGCGGGAAGUUCGUUAAACCUUAUCAUUUAGAGGAAGGAGAAGUCGUAACA